rnacentral:rRNA from 1 species
AGUGAACGCUGGCGGUAGGCCUAACACAUGCAAGUCGAACGGCAGCACAGUAAGAGCUUGCUCUUACGGGUGGCGAGUGGCGGACGGGUGAGGAAUACAUCGGAAUCUACUUUUUCGUGGGGGAUAACGUAGGGAAACUUACGCUAAUACCGCAUACGACCUACGGGUGAAAGCAGGGGAUCUUCGGACCUUGCGCGAUUGAAUGAGCCGAUGUCGGAUUAGCUAGUUGGCGGGGUAAAGGCCCACCAAGGCGACGAUCCGUAGCUGGUCUGAGAGGAUGAUCAGCCACACUGGAACUGAGACACGGUCCAGACUCCUACGGGAGGCGGCAGUGGGGAAUAUUGGACAAUGGGCGCAAGCCUGAUCCAGCCAUACCGCGUGGGUGAAGAAGGCCUUCGGGUUGUAAAGCCCUUUUGUUGGGAAAGAAAAGUAGCAGGUUAAUACCCCGCUGUUCUGACGGUACCCAAAGAAUAAGCACCGGCUAACUUCGUG